rnacentral:rRNA from 1 species
UACGUAGGCAGCGAGCGUUGUUCGGAGUUACUGGGCGUAAAGAGUGCGUAGGCGGUGCUCUAAGUUUGGUGUGAAAUCUCCCGGCUCAACUGGGAGGGUGCGCCGAAACUGGAGUGCUCGAGUAUGGGAGAGGUAAGCGGAAUUCCUGGUGUAGCGGUGAAAUGCGUAGAUAUCGUAAGGAAGACCAGUGGCGAAGGCGGGUCUCUGGACAGUUCCUGACGCUGAGGCACGAAGGCCAGGGGAGCAAACGGG